AUGUCGCAGGUGAUAUACUUUGAUAGGAAUCUGAAAAGGGGAUUAAUUCUUUUGCCAUGCAAUUCUCAAAAAGAUCAGAUAUGAUUCAAACCCUAACCCUAAUGCGUUUGAAUUUAUUUUCGUUUGAUGAAACAAAAAAAAAACUUACCGAUGAUCUACCUCUCUGCGUAGCCUUAUUUACCUCUCUUCUUUUCUUCAUUUAUUUACCUCCAGGUAUCAUAUCUAUCUUUGUGAAAAGGAUAUCCUUCCUAAUUUGAGCGUAAUUCUUUUCUUCUCCGUCAUUUCUUCUUCUCGAUUCUCUCUGUUUUUGUUUUCCUGAUUUACUAUUGAUUUAUUUUUGUUUUUCUAUCGCAGGUGAUAUACUUUGAUAGGAAUCUGAAAAGGGUAUUAAUUCUUUUGCCAUGCAAUUCUCAAAAGGAUCAGAUAUGAUUCAAACCCUAACGUGUCUGAAUUUAUUUUCGUUUGAUGAAACAAAAAACAAACUUACCGCUGAUCUACCUCUCCGCGUAGCCCUAUUUACCUCUCUUCUUUUCUUCAUUGAUUUACCUCCAGGUAUCAUAUCUAUCUCUGUUAAAAGGAUAUCCUUCCUAAUAUGAGCGUAAUUCAUAGCCUUUUACACACUGUCACUGAAGUUCGGGCACAAAAUCAUUUGACAAUAUAGUGAAAAUAUAGUUUGGUUAGCUAAUAUUGAUUUUUUAUCGUCAUCUUAUUCAGUUUUAGGUUAAUAUAGGGUUCUUUAGUUUCCUAAUAGGUUAGGAUAACAGAAAGAGGGAGAGCAGUAGAACCCUUAAUAUAUUGUGAAUGAUUUAAAGCUAUAAUUUUGCCGCAAUCUUUUUAAAUUUUAAACUAGCUGCGUUAUCACUUCUCUCUAACAAAUUUUCCUCCAUUUAUAUUAGCAUUCAACUUUUGAGAAUCAAGCAUGAAACCGACACCAUCCUUGCAGGAUUAGGUGGUAAGCAUUCGUGAUCCGGAGUUAAUUAACUUCAUAUUGUGGAUGUACAAGCUUUACAUAUCAGGGGAACUUUCAGAAUUGGUAAGAGGAAGGUGACCCAUUUAUACUACAAAGUACAAGCGCGUACAUGGGAGACAACAGAUUGUUUGGUCAUGAUCCUUGCAUUAUGGUACCAAGUUAAUGUCAUCUAUAGUAUUCCCCACUCAGAAAAAUAGUUGGGUAGCAAAGAAUUUGGAAAAGACGGUGUGUGAUUUCUAACCGACGGAUAGAGAACUUCAGGUGGGUUAGUCCGCUUUUGGUUCAUAUAUUUCUUACAUAUAUUUGGUAACAUACCUGCUUUCCUUUCAGAAGUUAUAAGGGAAUUUGAAAGUAUGCUAGAGCUGGAGAUUGGUCUUAAUGAUCUUUCACCUUUUUUGGUUCAUGGUGGAGUUAUAGCUUCAAUAACUACCAUUAUAUAUCACUCGAUUCACUCCUCUUACCCUCUCUGCAGUGCCUUCUGAUGUUGAUGUUGAAAAUUCAGGCUAUAGUUGAUCAAAUAAGUCGGUAAUAGGACAAUACGGAGUAUUUUUCAAAUCCUUAUAAUGGUUUGUGUUAUGUGAUUCUUUACUGCCGUGUUCAUUUGGUUUGUGUUGUAGCCACCCACUUUUUUUUUCUCCUGAUCUCCGGUGUCUGUACACAGCCAAGUCACUACAUUAUGUGAACAUUGUUUCUUGAAGGGAAUUUAUAGAGAAGAUAACGUUCUAUAAUGUUGUUUGCCUACGGACUCCAAAUAUUUUCUUCUGGCUCUUAAAUCACUGUGGAACUGUGCCCCCGAUACCAUACAAAUUUAGGAUCGCGUCUUUAAAAACUCCUUUUCAAGUACUCCUUCCAGAUGUGGGGUUCUAAGAGAUAGCCAAGCAUAUGGGGGUGCACGCAGUGAGGCAACAAACCGGUUCGUAACACUUUCUAUGUGUCCCAACUAUGCGAAGAGCACUACUCUGUGAUUUGGCAAAGCUUGAGAGAUCAUUGCUAUGGUAAAUCUUGAGAGAUCAUUGCAGUGGAUGUGGCACACUAAGCUGAUUUUAGCACUCUGAAAAGGUAAUACUUAAAUACUUAUUUGUUCUCAAAUUAAUCCUGUAUACGUGGAGACAUGCUUUUAUUGUGCACG